rnacentral:rRNA from 1 species
UACGAAGGGGGCGAGCGUUGUUCGGAUUUACUGGGCGUAAAGGGCGCGCAGGCGGCGUGCCAAGUCAGGCGUGAAAGCCCCGGGCUUAACCUGGGAGGUGCGUCUGGGACUGGUUGGCUAGAGUUCGGGAGAGGAGAGUGGAAUUCCCAGUGUAGAGGUGAAAUUCGUAGAUAUUGGGAAGAACACCGGUGGCGAAGGCGGCUCUCUGGACCGAGACUGACGCUGAGGCGCGAAAGCGUGGGGAGCAAACAGG